AUAAACCUAAGUCUUCCUGACUCCAAAGCCAAAAAUUUAUCCAUUUUACCAGGGCACCUUUUCCAGAAAUUGACUAUGAAGUGUUUUUAUACAUACAUUCUCUUUUUUUGGUGGGGGAGAGGUCUUGACCUACAAUUUCAUUGGUGUAAAGGAAUUCUCAGGGAGUAAUGUCACCCAACUGAUUUAGAUUAGCAAUGGUUCUUCACUUUGUACCCACUGAGAAUUAAAGGACCACUGAAACAUUUGCCUGAGGUCACACAUCCAACAUGGUGUAGUAGAUACCACUUUUAGGGGAAUUGUGGUAAUAGGAAAUGCUACAGUUCUAACACCAGGAAGCCAACUAGCGGAAAGACUGGAUCUUGUGCUCCUCCCCCUACAUUACUUCCUGUUCCCCUUCAACUGUCUUGAAUGUUCUUCUCAAAAAUGUUCAAGCCAGAGAAAUUAGACAUGUGAAGGCCACAAAUGAACAACAUGGCAGAGGCCAGGCGAUAGAGGGCAGGUCUUCAUGUCAGGAUGAGUCUGAUUCAAGUCAUCUCUCUGGCAAAUAAUCCCUGUUUGACCUUGGCCAAGUCCAAAUCAAACCUCUAAGGGCCCCCCAGCAACUACCUAAGCAGCCGCUGCUCGUAAAAGCCGAGUCUCCACUUUACUUUGGUCAAGGAACAGAGGAGGGCUAUGAAGCAUCCCUUCAGUGCCAAAGUCAAAAAGAGAAGAAAUGGAAUUUUCUCAGUACAUGGUACCUCCACACCAACUCUAUUUGAAACUGCAUUCAGUUCCAGAUAAAGCCUGGAGUCCAAUGGUCACCAAAGGAUCUCUCCUGUAUUGAAGGUUUCCCCUAUGCUCUGCCCACAGCAAGGUACACAAAGUCACUGUCCAUGUUGAUUCUUUUUGGUCUGUCUAGCAUGUCUCCAUGUGUCCUCUGAAAUCUUAUAUGGUGCAUUUCCCUUAAAUAAGGGACCAUUUUGUGGCAAUCAGCCAUUAAAUAAUUUUGGGGCAGCUAUGUUUACAUUACAAUCUACCACCCCAGCCUGACCCCUUCCCAUCCUUUUCAUGCCUUCCUCUGGUGAUAACCAAAGAAAACUCUAAUCUGAUUUAAAUAUGAAUUUCAUAAUAUUCACCUUUGGUCACAUCAUUUCAUCCAAACCUUAAACUUCUCUAGUGAGUAAAGUUCAAUCUACUUAGUCAUUUCAAUUAAUUCAAUCAAUUAAGUCAAUCAAUUAAUUAGUUAAUGUGCCAGCUGUUGUGCUAAGCACUAAGCAAAAAAAGAAGGCAAGAGGCAUUCCCUUCCCUCAAGAGCCUUACAAUCUUAUGGCUUACCAUCCAAGAUCAGCUUCCAAGAGACCUUUCAAACUUCAUAUUAUAGUAUGUCCUCCCUGACAUGCCUCACCAUAGAAUCAGAGAAUGUACCAAUAUUCCAGGCAAACACAUUCCACAGCUUCCCGCCUCUGUAUCUAUGCCGCGCACUCAGAUUCUUCCCUCUACCUGGCAUAGUCCUUACCCAUCACCUCUACCAGUUGAAAUCUCAUUUUGUCCUCAGUUACUCAUAUAUCACCUUACCACCAUCCUUCCAGUCAAGUGUUCUCACUCACUCCUCUGAAUUUUCUUCAUACACAGUGCCUCUUAUGCUGUUCUCAAUUUUCUUUGGACUCUAGUUAUUUAUCCAUGCUUCUUAUAGUGUGACUCAAUUGUGCUCCUACAGGGCAGAGAGUAUGCUUUAUUUCAAGUGUGUAUCCCCUGCACCUAACAGAGAGAGAUGCCUUUAGCAUAGGUAGGGGUGUGUUGGAGCCAACUUGUAACUUGAGAAAGUCAACUGUUAUGUUUUCAGUGUGAGAGCAUUUAUACCUCAGAAGUCAGCAAAUAUGAUUAGGAUUUAAUUUAGUAUUUUAAGAAAGUCAUAGAGAAAAUAAUAAUGCAGAUUAAACUUAAAAGAUUGACCCAGGUGGUUUGUUUGUUUGUUUGUUUGUUUCUUCCCAGAGAGCUGAUUAUUAUACAUUUACCAUUUAUUUAGGUGCUAGCCUCCUGCUCUGAUAAUGCUUAUCAAAACAAAUUUGUUAAACAGGUCAAAUGAAAUACAAUUAUUCUAAGAAGGAUGGACAAAGCACAUCCAGCAUCUGAGAAGACAUAAGGAACUUUGGGAAAGUUCUAAAGAAGCCCAUGUUCUGUUACCUUUCCAAUAUGGAAAGUGGAUUAUUUGAGCUGAAUGUGAGCACUAGCAAAGUGAGUGGAAAACGAAUGAGAAAGGAAUAUAUUUUAAAGUCAAGCUUCCAUCAGUAGAAUAUAAUCUUUGAUACUGGGAACUAACAAGAACAAACAGAACAAGCAUGUUUGGGGGAAAGGGAGUGAAAAAAAAGGAAAAAAAGAGAAGGAAAAAAGGAGGAAGAAGAGGAGGAAGAAAAGAUCAAAGCAAGAAGGCAGGAAAGAUGGGAAGAAAGGAAGAGAGAGAGGAGAAGAAGAAGAUAAAAAAGAGGAAGGGAAAGGGCAAAAGAUCAAAAGGAAAGAGAAGGGGAAGAAUGAACAGUGUGAAGGAACAGAAGGAGAAGAAGAACAGGAGAAAGGAAAAGAUCAAGAGAGGAAAAGGAAGAAGAGAGUAAAAGAGAAGGGAGAAAAAGAAAGAAAGAGGGAGAAGGAUGAAAAGGGGGAAAGUUAGGGAAGGAAGAGAAAAGGAACAAAAGCUUGUUACUUAGAAAAUCCAAGCACUAAUAUGACUACUGCUACUCCCAAUAAGGAAUUUCACAUUUGGGAGUAUAUCCAAGUCUAGCAUUUGUAUUUGAAAUGUUGAAGCACUCUCUGACAACAACCUUGUCAAUGUUCUUAUUUGCAAAAGUAUAAAAGAAAGAAAAUAAAUGAGAAGUGUCACCACCAUAUUGAUUCAGCAAGUCAUUGAAAGAUUUAAGAUUAAAAUUUAUGAUUUCUAAUCUUGCCUAACUCUUGGGGCC